UACGUAGGGACCGAGCGUUGUCCGGAAUCAUUGGGCGUAAAGAGCGCGUAGGCGGCCAGAUAAGUCCGGUGUAAAAGUCACAGGCUCAACCUGUGAAUGCCGCUGGAAACUGUCUGGCUUGAGUCCGGGAGGGCGAGUGGAAUUCCUGGUGUAGCGGUGAAAUGCGCAGAUAUCAGGAGGAACACCGGUGGCGAAGGCGGUUCUCUGGGCAACAACUGACGCUGAGGAGCGAAAGCGUGGGGAGCGAACAGG
rnacentral:rRNA from 1 species